CCUACGGGGGGCAGCAGUGGGGAAUAUUGCACAAUGGAGGAAACUCUGAUGCAGCAACGCCGCGUGAAGGAAGAAGGUUUUCGGAUUGUAAACUUCUUUGACAGGGGAAGAAUAAUGACGGUACCCUGAAAAGAAGCCCCGGCUAACUACGUGCCAGCAGCCGCGGUAAUACGUAGGGAGCAAGCGUUGUCCGGAUUUACUGGGUGUAAAGGGUGCGUAGGCGGCUUUUUAAGUCGGGCGUGAAAGCUGUGGGCUUAACCCACAAAUUGCGUUCGAAACUGGAAGGCUUGAGUGAAGUAGAGGUAGGCGGAAUUCCCGGUGUAGCGGUGAAAUGCGUAGAGAUCGGGAGGAACACCAGUGGCGAAGGCGGCCUACUGGGCUUUAACUGACGCUGAGGCACGAAAGCAUGGGUAGCAAACAGGAUUAGAUACCCUUGUAGUC
rnacentral:rRNA from 1 species